GCUCCAACCCUUUCAUCAAUGUUGUGAUCUUCCAAAGGUUCAGACCCAGCAGAACUAUCACUAACGCAGACCAGGGGCUGUGGCAAGCUCACUGGCACUUCCUCACCACUUUGAAUAUUGGAUUGCCCUAUAUCUCCAGUAUCUGCCAACAGAUUACCAGGUGCCUCGGGUGAGCUCACUAACUGAGUUAUAGUGUCUGACACAAUAGAUGGGAAAUUUACAGUCACCAAUGGUGAAACUGCAU
rnacentral:misc_RNA from 1 species